CUCAACCUUUUCUUAAUAGGAGCCACAAACACAUGUUAGUCAUGGUGUCGCGGGACGCAGACAAUAAAUAUUUUGGUAGUGAUUUUUUAAGUUUCGGGAUAGUUACAAAUUAAAUUAAGCAACUAUGAACAGAUUUAUGCAGUGUCCGUGGCCACAAGAUAUUUUGCAUCUUUACAUAAACCUAAGCCUGCAGUUGAAGAGAGGGCUGUCUAUCCUGAUGCAACACCGGCUCUGCCUGAUGAUGUUGAGAAGAAACCCGCGCGAUUCGGUUCCCGAUUGUACUGGCUGACCGAAUAAUUGCAAAAUUUUAGUCACGCGAGUGAGACAGCAUACUAGAAUAAGCGAUGCUCAGAAUCGCUCUAUAAAAAUUAAGUAAAAUAACACCCGAAAAGUUUUUAAGUCGUUUUACUUUUUUGCUUUAAAUCAUAUAAUCAAGAAAUAAACCAUGUUUCUUUGAAGGUAUUUAAAUUUUAAAUAAAACUGCUGUUUAACUUUUUAUCCAUGUUAGCAAUUUAAAUAAUUUGUAGUAUAAUAAAAUGUUGGCAAUA